GAGGAUAUAGCUCAAGUGGUAGAGAACAUGCUUGGCAAGCACGAGGUCCUGGGUUCAAUCCCAGUAUCUCCU
rnacentral:tRNA from 1 species